UGUAGGAGCUGCCGAAGGCUGCGAUCUUUUGAUCUUGAUCUUAAAAAACAAAAUCAAAAGAUCGCAGCCUUCGGCAGCUCCUACA
rnacentral:antisense_RNA from 1 species